rnacentral:RNase_P_RNA from 2 species
AGAGCAGGCCAGGUCAUCGCCCCGACUAGUUCGGGGAGGAAAGUCCGAGCUCCUAAGGCAGCGCGCCUGGUAACUCCAGGGAUCCGCAAGGGUACGGAAAGUGCCUCAGAAACCAGACCGCCCCGAUUCAUUCGGGGCAAGGGUGAAAGGGUGGCGUAAGAGACCACCGCCCCGAUGGCGACAUCGGGGGCUGGCAAACCCCGCGCGGAGCAAGGCCAAAUAAGGGAGAAGGAAGUGCCUGUUCCGCCAUUACUCCCGGGUAGGCCGCUGGAAGCUGUCCGGUAACGGCCAGCCCAGAUAGAUGAUGACUUAAACAGAACUCGGCUUACGGUCUGCUUUGGCU